rnacentral:rRNA from 1 species
CACGUAGGGCGCAAGCGUUGUCCGGAAUUAUUGGGCGUAAAGAGCUCGUAGGCGGUCUGUUGCGUCCGCUGUGAAAACCCGGGGCUUAACCCUGGGCUGGCAGUGGAUACGGACAGACUAGAGGUAGGUAGGGGAGAAUGGAAUUCCCGGUGUAGCGGUGAAAUGCGCAGAUAUCGGGAGGAACACCGGUGGCGAAGGCGGGUUCUCUGGGCCUUACCCUGACGCUG